rnacentral:rRNA from 1 species
GCGAGCGGCGGAUGGGUGAGUAACACGUGGGGAACCUGCCCCAUAGUCUGGGAUACCACUUGGAAACAGGUGCUAAUACCGGAUAAGAAAGCAGAUCGCAUGAUCAGCUUUUAAAAGGCGGCGUAAGCUGUCGCUAUGGGAUGGCCCCGCGGUGCAUUAGCUAGUUGGUAAGGUAAAGGCUUACCAAGGCGAUGAUGCAUAGCCGAGUUGAGAGACUGAUCGGCCACAUUGGGACUGAGACACGGCCCAAACUCCUACGGGAGGCAGCAGUAGGGAAUCUUCCACAAUGGACGCAAGUCUGAUGGAGCAACGCCGCGUGAGUGAAGAAGGUUUUCGGAUCGUAAAGCUCUGUUGUUGGUGAAGAAGGAUAGAGGUAGUAACUGGCCUUUAUUUGACGGUAAUCAACCAGAAAGUCACGGCUAACUACGUGCCAGCAGCCGCGGUAAUACGUAGGUGGCAAGCGUUGUCCGGAUUUAUUGGGCGUAAAGCGAGCGCAGGCGGAAGAAUAAGUCUGAUGUGAAAGCCCUCGGCUUAACCGAGGAACUGCAUCGGAAACUGUUUUUCUUGAGUGCAGAAGAGGAGAGUGGAACUCCAUGUGUAGCGGUGGAAUGCGUAGAUAUAUGGAAGAACACCCAGUGGGCGAAGGCGGCUCUCUGGUCUGCAACUGACGCUGAGGCUCGAAAGCAUGGGUAGCGAACAGGAUUAGAUACCCUGGUAGUCCAUGCCGU